GCCCUGCUUUCAGCUUCUCCUUCCUUCCUUGACGCGUCUUCUCUUUUUUCACUCUUUCCAGUUCAAUAGUUGUCCCCUCGCUUUCUCCCUCGUCGUCUAUUCUGUGGUUACUUUUGAAUCCUCCAGUUUUUCCUCACAGUAACCGUCAGUUACAGGUGUAUCUGACAGCUCAGGUGAAAGCAGUCUCAUCCAGAUGAGGGCUCGUUUAAUUUAAAUUAUUCCACUGCGUAUUAUUGUUGUCGGAACAUAAUUUACUCCAGGGGUGCCCAAUCCCAGUCCUCGAGAGCUACUGCCCUGCAGCUUUUAGAUGCGUCCUUGUUCCAGCACACCUGAAUCAAAUGAAUGGCUCGUUAUCAGGCCUUUGCCAGACUUGAUGGCAUGCCGAAUUGGUAAUCCAACUAUUUGAUUCAGCUGUGUUGGAGUAGGGAUGCAUCUAAAAGCUGCAGGACAGUAGCUCUCAAGGACUGGGAUUGGGCACCCCUGAUUUACUCCUUCACAGCCUCAUUGGUUGCACUCGUCUCCGAGCAGCUCUCGGCAGGAAACUCAAAGUGAACCAAUAUGCAAGAACCUGAGUGCAUCAGUCUGGAGGUGCUGUCUCAAUCUGCGGACUGUCUCACCCUGUUCACUCAGAGCUCCAUCCAAGCCUCCGUCUCUGAGGGUCCUUUCCUAAUUCCUAUCAGUCGUCUAUUAUGAUUCAUCAAAGUCUAAUCACCAAAUAGUUCAUUAAGUUUUGCAUCUCAUUAAAUCAUGUUCAUUUUUCCUAAAUGAGUGCAGUUCACUUUAAUACUAGUUGCUACAGUUUGUGUACUCUGCAGACUGAAAGGCAUGAAUGGCUACAGCAGGCGUUUAGCUCAAACUUGCAGUGUAUAGCUGGCAGUUGGGUUGGAUUAUGAUUUGAAUCACGUUCCCAACAUAAAUGAACUGUUCUGGAGAUCAUUUGCAACCAAACUAAGAACUCCUUUUUUCAAAGGUGUGGUUGUUUUUGGUCCCCACCAAAGUUCGCACUGUGUUCAUAUCGGCAAAAAACAAACCCCACCAAGAGGCG